GACGAACGCUGGCGGCGUGCCUAAUACAUGCAAGUCGAGCGGACGAUUCGAAAGCUUGCUUUUGAAUCGUUAGCGGCGGACGGGUGAGUAACACGUGGGCAACCUGCCCUGUAGACGGGGAUAACACCGAGAAAUCGGUGCUAAUACCGGAUAACACGAAAUGUCGCAUGACGUUUCGUUGAAAGGCGGCGCAAGCUGCCGCUACAGGAUGGUCCCGCGGCGCAUUAGCUAGUUGGUGAGGUAACGGCUCACCAAGGCGACGAUGCGUAGCCGACCUGAGAGGGUGAUCGGCCACACUGGGACUGAGACACGGCCCAGACUCCUACGGGAGGCAGCAGUAGGGAAUCUUCCGCAAUGGACGAAAGUCUGACGGAGCAACGCCGCGUGAGCGAAGAAGGCCUUCGGGUCGUAAAGCUCUGUUGUUAGGGAAGAACAAGUAACGUAGUAACUGACGUUACUAUGACGGUACCUAACGAGAAAGCCACGGCUAACUACGUG
rnacentral:rRNA from 1 species